AAGCGCUUGCAAUCAGACUUGCACUUGGUGUUCAUCAGGGUCUCGUACCCUGUGUACUUCAUCAAGUUCAGGCCAGCAUCAGUUUGAGUGGUUAGAUAAAGGCUCGGGGAAGGUAUCUACCUUCGGGUCGACUUACAGCCCCGGGUGAAAUGUGGCCUACUUGGAUCGAGGAACGCGCUUCGGCUCGGAUGUUGGCGUAAUGGUUGCAAGCG
rnacentral:rRNA from 1 species